CCACAGCCAAUUAAGCUGACCCAAGGCGCCCGGUAUGCAAUGACUGCAAACAGCAGCCUCCUGGGUAGUGUAUGUGGCCUAUUGCUUAUAGAGGCUGCCCUAAGGGUCGCUGGAGACAGCU
ensembl:snoRNA SNORA70 Small nucleolar RNA SNORA70